GGUUUCCUGGGUCGUACGCUAAUAGACGUAUGUCCCUGAGCCGAUGCUUUUACUUAAGGGGAUCACUGGCCCGUCAUGAGCAAGCCCGGCACGCACCGGGAAGCCUACGAUGGAUCCCACUUGCUCCCCGCCUUGAACCAAUGGGUUCAAGGGCUACCGUCAGAUGGCGGCGUCACCGGGAAACCA
rfam:Idiomarina baltica OS145 scf_1099451322320 genomic scaffold, whole genome shotgun sequence.